rnacentral:rRNA from 1 species
AGUGAACGCUGGCGGUAGGCCUAACACAUGCAAGUCGAACGGCAGCACAGUAAGAGCUUGCUCUUACGGGUGGCGAGUGGCGGACGGGUGAGGAAUACAUCGGAAUCUACUUUUUCGUGGGGGUUAACGUAGGGAAACUUACGCUAAUACCGCAUACGACCUACGGGUGAAAGCAGGGGAUCUUCGGACCUUGCGCGAUUGAAUGAGCCGAUGUCGGAUUAGCUAGUUGGCGGGGUAAAGGCCCACCAAGGCGACGAUCCGUAGCUGGUCUGAGAGGAUGAUAAGCCACACUGGAGCUGAGACACGGUCCAGACUCCUACGGGAGGCAGCAGUGGGGAAUAUUGGACAAUGGGCGCAAGCCUGAUCCAGCCAUACCGCGUGGGUGAAGAAGGCCUUCGGGUUGUAAAGCCCUUUUGUUGGGAAAGAAAAGCAGCAGGUUAAUACCCCGCUGUUCUGACGGUACCCAAAGAAUAAGCACCGGCUAACUUCGUG